UCUCUUCGCGGCCGGCGGAGCCGAAUUCAGGCAUCUCCGCGUUUAAAGUGGAAAGGAAGAGAAGGGAAAGAGGGGAUCGGAAUACCUCCACUUUUUCCUCUCUUAAAUGCACCCUCCUCGCUAGCUGUUCCCUGGUGCCCACGUCCGGGUAUUUCGUUUCCUGGAAGAGGUUUUCCAGCGCUUCGAGCUGCUCGUCAGUGAAGAUAGUCCGGUGCCGUCUUUUCCGCCGGCAGUGCAGCUGGUUGAGUAACUGCAGCUCCGUCCGGGACAAAGUGCCUACGUUCAUGUAGGGCAACAUCUGAUGGGGAACAGGGGACAUCAGCACCGACCCAGCGCCCUCGUAACCUACGAACAGACAGACGAGACGACGGGAGGCUUCGUGCGUGAGACCGCCGCUCCCCGACGAAGCGAGCCCGUUCUCCCCCGUCCCCCCCGAGCGCUCCCUUACCUGCUGGGGGAACGCAGGAGCACUGCUGGGCCCCCAGCGGCGGCACGGCCCCGCAACACGACGGGGCCACGGGAGAUGCGGGCACAUGCAGCUGCCCGUAGUAGUAGUUGUUGUAGCCCAAACGGGAGCCGCCGACCGCCGGCAGCGCCGAGCCGGGAGCCACAGCCCGGGAGUAAAAUCCUCCGUAGUCGGAGGCAGCGCCGUAGAGGGAGUCCCCGUGCAGGCUGGGGAAGACGACGGGCGCGGCGCUCGGGGGCAGCAGCACCGAGUCCUUGCAGCGAGGUAUCGCUUUCUGUUUUUUAACGAGCCAGAAUGUGGGAAUGUCAAUGACCGCUGCCAUCUCACAUCGCCGAGCUGAGCUGCGGCGAUACGGAGAAACUUCGCCUAUUUCAUGUUCCGAGAAUUUGAAAUGGAGCAGUUUAAAAGUCCGUAAAAUUCUCAGCUGAGACACUCGGCUCUCCUGGUAGCUGCUCUUGUGAUUUGCAGAAUACUUCGUCUGUCACGACUGUCACUGGGAAUCCACAGGAGGUGAACUCAAUCAGAUUAGACUAUUUACCCCAUCAGCCCUCCAUGACAGAAGGUAGGAAAUUGUAGGCAAGGAAUGAAAACAAGCUAUUAAUAUCCGUUUACGAGGAACACAUUAUUUUUCCUCAACAAAGACCAUCUUCGUUAGCGCUCACUCGCACUUUGUCCUUCCUUUCCUCGAAAUUCCAGAUUUUGUUACUGCGUCUGAUAUUGAACCAAACCGAAGACCUAUGCCUAUCAAAAGACGCGUAGGAACGUUAAGAAAAAAGGACCCCAGGACUCUUUUCUCACUUUGAUACAUAGCGAUGUGACUAAUAGUUACCAUCGUUUCUUUUCCUUCAUUUAUUUACCUAUCAAUUUCCUUGCGCCUUUGGUAUUUAGAGCUGACCUUCAUGCGAAUUUUACAAAUUUGAUGUAAAAGGAAAGAAUUUGAUGGGUAGUCAGUUUUUUCUUUUUCUCCUUUUAUUGUUUCUUCUUUUCCUUUUCUUCUUCUUACUUUGUAUACGUUCUGGGGUGGUUUUUGAUUUGCUGUUCUGUUUGGAUUUUUUUGAUGUGUGUGUGUGUGCUUUGAUAUUGGGUUUUUGGGGGGUCAGUCGUUCCCUGGCUCCGGCCCUGCCCCGCGUAUUACUUAAUUCCCCCCCUCGCGAUGCUCACUCACGUCCCAGCGGCUCCGCAGCCACGCGACCGCACCUCCCU